GGAGAGAUACUCAAGAGGCCGAAGAGGACGGUUUGCUAAACCGUUAGACCGGGUUACCGGUGCGAGGGUUCGAAUCCCUCUCUCUCCG
rnacentral:tRNA from 1 species